UACGGGGGGGGCAAGCGUUGUUCGGAAUUACUGGGCGUAAAGGGCGCGUAGGCGGCCUUCUAAGUCGGACGUGAAAUCCCUCGGCUUAACCGGGGAACUGCGUCUGAUACUGGAUGGCUUGAGGUUGGGAGAGGGAUGCGGAAUUCCAGGUGUAGCGGUGAAAUGCGUAGAUAUCUGGAGGAACACCGGUGGCGAAGGCGGCAUCCUGGACCAAUUCUGACGCUGAGGAGCGAAAGCCAGGGGAGCAAACGGG
rnacentral:rRNA from 1 species